AGUGAACGCUGGCGGUAGGCCUAACACAUGCAAGUCGAACGGCAGCACAGUAAGAGCUUGCUCUUACGGGUGGCGAGUGGCGGACGGGUGAGGAAUACAUCGGAAUCUACUUUUUCGUGGGGGAUAACGUAGGGAAACUUACGCUAAUACCGCAUACGACCUACGGGUGAAAGCAGGGGAUCUUCGGACCUUGCGCGAUUGAAUGAGCCGAUGUCGGAUUAGCUAGUUGGCGGGGGAAAGGCCCACCAAGGCGACGAUCCGUAGCUGGUCUGAGAGGAUGAUCAGCCACACUGGAACUGAGACACGGUCCAGACUCCUACGGGAGGCAGCAGUGGGGAAUAUUGGACAAUGGGCGCAAGCCUGAUCCAGCCAUACCGCGUGGGUGAAGAAGGCCUUCGGGUUGUAAAGCCCUUUUGUUGGGAAAGAAAAGCAGCAGGUUAAUCCCCCGCUGUUCUGACGGUACCCAAAGAAUAAGCAACGGCUAACUUCGUG
rnacentral:rRNA from 1 species